CAACAAGCUUUUCUUAUACGUCAAUGCCGAAUAUUUCCUUGUGAUUAUAUUUUGUUCCAUUUUACAGAAUAUGAGGGCUGGGAUAUGAAAGCUUUUAUAACAAUGUGAAAAGAAAAUUGAUUUUGCCAUGAGUUUUUUGUCCGUUAAUAAGUUAAAACUUUUAAUUUUUGGCUAGAAUUUGCUCUUUUUGCGCAGAUCGUCUGUUUCGAUGAAGAAUGUUAUUUUUGGAGCUGAUUCUGGCAGCAUCGGUAGUCACUGUAGCGGUAUUUUCAUGCAUAACCCUAAAAAGGAAAUUUGGAAAGGAGAGCAUGAAGACACCUUCUGUAUCUACCCUUAUAAAGCGCUUUGACACAGGUGAAUCCAACGAACCAACGGGAACCACCGUAACAUCCCCGCCACGGCGAGUCCAGACAAAGGCCAAGUCCCACCACCUUCAGAGUGCGCCACACACCCUGAAUAAACAUAUUUCAGGUGCCCCUCCCAGAAGCCCGAGCCCUUUUCGCAAGUGCACGGAAUCCUCGCAGAGUUACGAACCCCCUAUAAAACCCAAUGAAAGCGAACACUCUUAUCGAGAGAGCACAACAAGCGAUCACGUUUACAUUGAAUUAUGUUGAUGAGAAAUUAUUUAUUGAAUGUAUACAUGUAUACUUUGUUGAUACACUUUGUCUCAUUGGCGGAUCCAGGAUUUGUUGAAAGGGGACUCAAAAGGCCAGGGGUGUGGGGCUGAAGCUUUCAGGUUUUGGAGUAAAACAACUUUGAACUUUUCUAGCUAUAAUUGACAGAUUAUAAAAAUCGAUGAAUUUUAACGAAUACUGAUUUUUCUGUAGUUCUACUAAUUUUUAUAUUAUCAUCAUCAUUUUUUAAUAUAAGUUUUGAUCACAAAAGACCAGGGGUCUGGGUCUGAACUCUAAAUCCUUAGUAAUCACAUGUAUCUUUCAAAUAUUAAUCUUGCAAUAUACAUCUUUUCAUGGUAAAAGAAAUGUUCUUUCCUGCAUGAGUACUAGUAUCCAGUUUUGGGGUAUUGAAAUUUGUAUGGCAAGGCAAAAUAUAUAUAAAAAAUGUGUAUGUUUACACAAUCAGUGAAUUAUUAACAAUAUAAAACAGAAAUACGUGCCAUUUUUUGAUUUGUGAAAUAUGGGCAUGUGAUAUUUAGAUUUAAACAUAAAUGACAUACAUGUAUGUUUUAGGUAAACAAAAAUUAAAAUUGUAAAAGAAAUGCAAGGGUUGUAUAUUUUAUACAAGGUUGUUUCUAAUGACGACAACGGUUUGUUUACUUGCAUGAUAAAGUUUUAAUUGAUAAUUUCAUUUUAACUGCAGAAGAAGUACACGUGCAUGUGCAUGUAAAUAUCUUACUGCAUGUAUGAUAACAUGUCAUAAUUAAGCCCUCUGAUUUUCACUGUAUGUAAAAAAAAAAUCAUUUUGUGUUUCUACGAAGUUGAAAAGUUAUUAUAUAAAUUACAAAAAUAUAUAUUACAUAAGUAAUAAUAAAAAUAUGUUUUUUUUAAUUUAAUAUUACAGUAUACAUGUAUAUUAAGCAGUGUUGGUGUUUUUCAACAAAAAUGCAUUAUAUAUAUAUAUUUUUAGAUUUAAACAAACUGUGGAAAACAGUUGUUAUAUGUCCUCAGAAUAGCGAAAUCUGAUAAAACAACGUUCCAGGUGUAGCUAUGUGGCUAUCAUCAGUUUCCCCACCGCUGAAAGUUGUACAAUCAAGUGUUCUAAAAUUAUGUGUUUUUUCUUUUCUUAAAAUGCUCACCUGAGCCGAAGGCUCAAGUGAGCUUUUCUUAUCAAAAUUUGUCCGUUGCAAUUGUCUGUCGUUGGUGUCGUCAUUGUCGUAAAAUUUUCACAUUUUCAUCCUCUUCUCCAAAUACACAGGAUCAAUUUCAACAAAGCUUGGCACAAACUUGGGUGAAGGGGAUACAUUUUUGUUCAAAUGAAGAGACAUGCCCAUUUGAAAGGGGAUAAUAAUUUUAAAUUAUUUAAAAUUUAUUGGUAUUUUUUUAAAAUCUUUAUCUCUAAAACCAUUUGGCCAUAAAAGCUGAAACUUGAGUUGAAGCGUUCUUAGGUAGUGUAGAGUUCAAAUUUAUUCAAAUUAUUAUUCCCGAGGGUAGAAUGAGGCCACAGUGUUGGGGAUUUUUACAUAGGAAUAUAUAGAGAAAAAUCUUUAAAAAUCGUUUUUUUUCAAAAUCCAUUCAGCCAGAAAAGCUGUAACUUAGGUGGAAGCAUCCUCAGGUAGUUUAGAUUGAAGUUUGUUCAAAACUUCUUCCCCAGGGGUAGGGUAGGUUCACCACCGGGGGUCAAACUUAUACAUAGGAAUAUGUACAGAAUUUUUUUAAAAAAUCUUUCUAUUCGUUACAUCGUUGAACCCUUUCUUUCUCUUCAUACUACACCAUUAGAAAUCAGUUUAAUGCAGAGAGCCCCCCCCCCCCCCCAAAAAAAAUGAUAAUUUACUAGUUGUACAUUUUCUCUGCCCUAAGGAGUCUGAUUUAAGGUGAUAUAACACAUCAUCACAAAAUGGCUGAUCGAAACGACAUUUUGUUUUAUUAAAAGGAUUUUAUUGACGGUAUCUGUAACUUAGUCAAGUGGAUAAAGUGUCGGGCUUCCGAUCUGUACAUCCCGCUCUCGAAUCCCACAGGGGUUUUCGUUGUUACUUAAAAAAUUACUGCGUUGAAUUUAUUAUAAUAUUCAUUUUUAUUCCCAAACUGCAAAUUUUUCGCUUAUUUGACAUAUGUACAGUUUAUUAUCAUUAUAUCUUUCUUAAUAAAAUAAUUUACUGUUAA